rnacentral:rRNA from 1 species
UAAGACGGAGGGGGCAAGCGUUGUUCGGAAUCAUUGGGCGCAAAGCGCGCGUAGGCGGUCGGGUAAGUCGGGCGUGAAAGCCCAGGGCUCAACCCUGGAAGUGCGUUCGAUACUGCACGACUUGAGUACGGGAGAGGAGAGUGGAAUUCCCAGUGUAGCGGUGAAAUGCGUAGAUAUUGGGAGGAACACCAGUGGCGAAGGCGGCUCUCUGGACCGUCACUGACGCUGAGGCACGAAAGCUAGGGGAGCAAACGGGAUUAGAUACCCCGGUAGUCCUAGCCGUAAACGAUGGGCACUAGGUGUUGGGGGUAUUGACCCCUCCAGUGCCGGAGCUAACGCAUUAAGUGCCCCGCCUGGGGAGUACGGUCGCAAGGCUG